rnacentral:rRNA from 1 species
UACGGAGGGUGCAAACGUUGCUCGGAAUCAUUGGGCGUAAAGCGCACGUAGGUGGCCUGUUAAGUCGGGUGUGAAAUCCCUGGGCUCAACCCAGGAAGUGCACUCGAAAACUGGCAGGCUUGAGUACUGAAGAGGGUCGCGGAAUUCCCGGUGUAGAGGUGAAAUUCGUAGAUAUCGGGAGGAACACCAGUGGCGAAAGCGGCGACCUGGGCAGAUACUGACACUGAGGUGCGAAAAGCGUGGGGGAGCAAAACAGGG